UCUUCAGCGGCCACACACGCAAUGAGGUCGUCGAAGCUGGUGGUCCCCACAGUCACAAAUGCGCUCUUCAUCGCGCGGGCUCCGGAGUCCGAAUUGUGACUGAACACAAGAGGGUGAAGCAAAACCUUUUCAUCCCUGAUAAUUUUAACCUGCUGUUUCCUACUAUUGCAUUGGCAAAUUUUGAUAAGCAGUUCUGAAGCUGAGGACCGAACCCAGGGCCUUGCACUUGCUAGGCAAGUGCUCUACCACUGAGCUAAAUUCCUAACCCCCGGAAUACAUUUGGAAGUCAGAGGACAAGUUUUGGGAGUCAGUUAUUUCUUUCCUCUUUGGUGAGGCUGAGUCUCUUGUUUCUGCCAUUGCACUGCAUGAUCUGUGCUUGCUGGCCCUGAGGAUUUUCCUGUAUCUGCCUCCCUUUGUGCUAUAGGAUUGCUGGGGUUACAGAUGCAAGCCCCUGAAUUUGUCUUUCUGCGUGGAUUCUGGGGACUGAACUCCAGUCAUUAGUCAUUGGUUUACCUAUUUACCUGCUAAGCCAUCUUCCAGGUCCCAAGUUUUUCUUUUGCA